CCCACAGAGGUGGAAUCUAGAGAGGCAGUUGGCCUUGCUGAGCUGCGGUGGGCUCCUCCCAGUUCGAAAUUCCUGGCGGCUUUGUUUACACUGUGAGCAUAAUACUGCUUGCUCAAGCCUCAGCAAUGGUGGACACCCCACCCCCCAGCCAAGCUCCAGCGUCUCAGGUCGAUCUCAGACUUCUGUGCUAGCAGCGAGAAUUUCAAGCCAAUGGAUCUUAGCUUGCUGGGCUCUGUGGGUGUGGGACCCACACAGCCAGGCACUGGAAGGAAUCUCCUGGUCUGCCGUUUGCAAAGAAUGUGGGAAAAGUACAGUAUCUGGGCAGGAGUGCACUGUUCCUCCCCGUACAGUCUCUCACAGCUUACCUUGGCUAGGAAAAGGAAAUCCCCCGACCCCUUGCACUUCCCAGCCCCAGGCAAAGCCACACCUACCCCUGCUCUUCAGGAUGCUGUCUCCCACCCUCCAACCCCAUGCUAAUCUGUGACACCUGAAAGCACAGGAUGGCUCCUAACAAGCAAUGCUUCCUGCAAGAGCCUUUUGAAAGAGAUAGAGCCUCCCUCUGUUGCCCACACUGCUUUUGAACUCCUGGUCUCAAGUGAUCCUCCCACCUCGGCCUCCCAAAGUGCUGGGAUUACAGAUGUGAGCCACUGCACCUGGCGGAGAUGACUUUUUAAAAGCCUUUAUAAGGAUAUGAACAGACACUUCUCAAAAGAAGACAUUUAUGCAGCCAACAGACACAUGAAAAAAUGCUCAUCAUCACUGGCCAUCAGAGAAAUGCAAAUCAAAACCACAAUGAGAUACCAUCUCACACCAGUUAGAAUGGCGAUCAUUAAAAAGUUAGGAAACAACAGGUGCUAGAGAGGAUGUGGAGAAAUAGGAACACUUUUACACUGUUGGUGGGACUGUAAACUAGUUCAACCAUUGUGGAAGACAGUGUGGUGAUUCCUCAAGGAUCUAGAACUAGAAAUACCAUUUGACCCAGCAAUCCCAUUACUGGGUAUAUACCCAAAGGAUUAUAAAACAUGCUGCUAUAAAGGCACAUGCACACGUAUGUUUAUUGUGGCACUGUUCACAAUAGCAAAGACUUGGAACCAACCCAAAUGUCCAUCAAUGAUAGACUGGAUUGAGAAAAUGUGGCACAUAUACACCAUGGAAUACUAUGCAGCCAUACAAAAGGAUGAGUUCAUGUCCUUCGUAGGGACAUGGAUGAAGCUGGAAACCAUCAUUCUCAGCAAACCAUCGCAAGAGCAAAAAACCAAACACCACAUGUUCUCACUCACAGGUGGGAAUUGAACAAUGAGAACACUUGGACACAGGAAGGGGAACAUCACACACCGGGGCCUGUCGUGGAGUGGGGGGAGGGAGGAGGGGGGAGGGAUAGCAUUAGGAGAUAUACCUAAUGCUAAAUGACGAGUUAAUGGGUGCGGCACACCAACAUGGCACAUGUAUACAUAUGUAACAAACCUGCACGUUGUGCACAUGUACCCUAAAACUUAAAGUAUAAUAAAAAAAAUUUUAAAAAGCCUUUAUAAACUAAACCAAAUAUAAACAAAAAUAAACUAUACCUCUUGACAGCUCUA